CGUAGGUGGCAAGCGUUGUCCGGAUUUAUUGGGUUUAAAGGGUGCGUAGGCGGUCUUGUAAGUCAGUGGUGAAAUACGGCAGCUUAACUGUCGAGGUGCCAUUGAUACUGCAGGACUUGAGUACAGACGAGGUAGGCGGAAUUGACGGUGUAGCGGUGAAAUGCUUAGAUAUCGUCAAGAACACCGAUAGCGAAGGCAGCUUACUAGACUGUAACCGACGCUGAUGCACGAAAGUGUGGGGAUCAAACAGGAUUAGAUACCCUGGUAGUCCACACUGUAAACGAUGAUUACUCGAUGUUGGCGAUACACAGCCAGCGUCUUAGCGAAAGCGAUAAGUAAUCCACCUGGGGAGUACGCCGGCAACGGUG
rnacentral:rRNA from 1 species